GAUGAACGCUGGCGGCGUGCCUAACACAUGCAAGUCGAGCGGAGCUGCUUUGAUGAAGUUUUCGGAUGGAUUUAAAACAGCUUAGUGGCGGACGGGUGAGUAACGCGUGGGUAACCUGCCUCACACUGGGGGAUAACAGUUAGAAAUAGCUGCUAAUACCGCAUAAGCGCACAGUUCCGCAUGGAACAGUGUGAAAAACUCCGGUGGUGUGAGAUGGACCCGCGUCUGAUUAGCCAGUUGGCGGGGUAACGGCCCACCAAAGCGACGAUCAGUAGCCGGCCUGAGAGGGUGAACGGCAACAUUGGGACUGAGACACGGCCCAAACUCCUACGGGAGGCAGCAGUGGGGAAUAUUGCACAAUGGGGGAAACCCUGAUGCAGCGACGCCGCGUGAGUGAAGAAGUAUUUCGGUAUGUAAAGCUCUAUCAGCAGGGAAGAAAGUGACGGUACCUGAAUAAGAAGCACCGGCUAACUACGUGCCAGCAGCCGCCGCCG
rnacentral:rRNA from 1 species